rnacentral:rRNA from 1 species
CCAAUAGCGUAUAUUAAAGUUGUUGCAGUUAAAAAGCUCGUAGUUGAAUUUCGGGAUUGACACAUCGGUCGUGCCUUAAGGGGUAUGAACUGGUGUAGUCAAUUUCUCACCUUCUGGAGAACCGCGAUGUCCUUAAUUGGGUGCCGCGGGGAACCAGGACCUUUACUUUGAAAAAAUUAGAGUGUUUAAAGCAGGCAUUUUGCUUGAAUACAUUAGCAUG